CCUACGGGAGGCAGCAGUGAGGAAUAUUGGUCAAUGGGCGGAAGCCUGAACCAGCCAAGUAGCGUGCAGGAUGACGGCCCUACGGGUUGUAAACUGCUUUUAUACGGGAAUAACGCGCCUUACGUGUAGGGCUUUGCAUGUACCGUAUGAAUAAGGACCGGCUAAUUCCGUGCCAGCAGCCGCGGUAAUACGGAAGGUCCGGGCGUUAUCCGGAUUUAUUGGGUUUAAAGGGAGCGUAGGCGGCAUGUCAAGCGGCCUGUGAAAUGUCCGGGCUCAACCCGGGCCUUGCAGCGCGAACUGGGGUGCUUGAGUCCGCGGAAAGCAGGCGGAAUUCGUCGUGUAGCGGUGAAAUGCUUAGAUAUGACGAAGAACCCCGAUUGCGAAGGCAGCUUGCUGCAGCGGAACUGACGCUGAUGCUCGAAAGCGCGGGUAUCGAACAGGAUUAGAUACCCCAGUAGUC
rnacentral:rRNA from 1 species